UACGAAGGGGGCUAGCGUUGCUCGGAAUUACUGGGCGUAAAGGGCGCGUAGGCGGGUCGUUAAGUUGGGGGUGAAAGCCCAGGGCUCAACCCUGGAAUUGCCUUCAAUACUGGCGACCUUGAGUUUGGAAGAGGGUCGCGGAAUUCCCGGUGUAGAGGUGAAAUUCGUGGAUAUCGGGAGGAACACCAGUGGCGAAGGCGGCGACCUGGUCCGAGACUGACGCUGAGGCGCGAAAGCGUGGGGAGCAAACAGG
rnacentral:rRNA from 1 species